rnacentral:tRNA from 1 species
GCCCACGUAGCUCAGUUGGUAGAGCAGCGGUUUCGUAAACCGCAGGUCAGGGGUUCAAAUCCCUUCGUGGGCUCCA